rnacentral:misc_RNA from 1 species
GAUGAAGAACGUAGCGAAACGCGAUAAGUAAUGUGAAUUGCAGAAUCCAGUGAAUCAUCGAAUCUUUGAACGCACAUUGCGCCCGCCAGCAUUCUGGCGGGCAUGCCUGUUCGAGCGUCAUUUCAACCCUCGACCUCCCCUUGGGGAGGUCGGCGUUGGGGACCGGCAGCACACCGCCGGCCCUGAAAUGGAGUGGCGGCCCGUCCGCGGCGACCUCUGUGCAGUAAUACAGCUCGCACCGGGACCCCGACGCGGCCACGCCGUAAAACACCCAACUUCUGAACGUUGACCUCGAAUCAGGUAGGACUACCCGCUGAACUUAAGCAUAUCAAUAAGCGGAGGA